rnacentral:lncRNA from 1 species
AUGGCACUGCAGGUAGCUCCUGGGCACGUGCAUCGCUGCUACAGUCCAGGAGAGGAGCAAUCUCAGCUCUGCUGGAUGACACAGGGGUGGCACAGGGAUGUGGGCUUCCUCCCUGCUCUGCGUCUGCCUGCAGAGAGCCCAGCUCUGUGGGAUGCACUGGAGGUGUUUGAACUGGUGGAAGAAAAUGGAGAGAAACAGGAAAGGCUCACGGACCAGACAUCUUUCAUCUCGACCGCAAUAAACCUAUUAGCAUCGCACAGUUUCCCUCAGGUUGCAGUUCAGCAAGCCAUCCGGGACUUACUGCAUGAAUACCAGCCAAGCAGUGGGAGGCAAAGUCAUCAUCGGCUUUUGUGUUCUUUGAUUACUGUUAUUCAAACUGAACAAAGAUUUGUGGUUUACUGGUGUUCUUCCUUUUCCUUUUUUUUUUUCCCCCAGAUUAACUGCUACACUCUGACAUUGUGUAUAUUAUGGUUAUUGUAG